rnacentral:rRNA from 1 species
UGGGGAAUCUUGCGCAAUGGGCGAAAGCCUGACGCAGCGACGCCGCGUGGGGGAAGAAGGCCUUCGGGUUGUAAACCUCUUUCAGCAGGGACGAAGCCACUCGGGUUAAUAGCCCAGAGGGUGACGGUACCUGCAGAAGAAGCCCCGGCUAACUACGUGCCAGCAGCCGCGGUAAUACGUAGGGGGCAAGCGUUGUCCGGAUUUAUUGGGCGUAAAGAGCGUGUAGGCGGCCAGACAGGUCCGUUGUGAAAACUAGAGGCUUAACCUCUAGACGUCGAUGGAAACCGUCUGGCUAGAGUCCGGAAGAGGAGAAUGGAAUUCCUGGUGUAGCGGUGAAAUGCGCAGAUAUCAGGAAGAACACCCGUGGCUAAGGCGGUUCUCUAGUACGGUACUGACGCUGAGACGCGAAAGCGUGGGGAGCGAACAGG